GACGAACGCUGGCAGUGUGUCUUACACAUGCAAGUCGGGCGGAUCUCUCUAAUUGCAGCAAUGCAAUUGGAGAGAUCGAGCGGCAAACGGGUGAGUAAUGGAUAGGUAAUCUACCAUAAUGACUGGGAUACCCCCUUGAAAAAGGGAUCAAUACCAGAUAAUGUCAGUUUAAAUACUUUUAAACUGAAGAAAGAUGGCCCAAAGCUAUCACAUUAUGAUGAGCCUAUCUCCUAUCAGCUUGUUGGUGAGGUAAUGGCUCACCAAGGCUAUGACGGGUAGCUGGUCUGAGAGGAUGGUCAGCCAACUGGAACUUAGAUACGGUCCAGACUCCUACGGGAGCAGCAGUGGGAAUCUUGGGCAAUGGGCGAAAGCCUGACCCAGCGACACUGCGUGGGUGAUGAAGAUCUUUGGAUUGUAAAACCCUUUUCCUGAAGAUGAAAGGUAGGAUUGAGAAUAUCCUUCCUACCUGACU
rnacentral:rRNA from 1 species